GAGAGGACAUCUGUCCAACAUCUCUGAGUGUGCCUUGAUCCCUGACAAGAAAAGACUGAUUACUGCAUCAUGGGACAAGACCCUAAAUGCAUGGGACCUGGAGACUGGCAAGAUCAUUUGGACUGCAGCUCAGGCUGGUCUCCUGACCUCAUGUAGCGUCUCAGAGGACGGAAG